rnacentral:rRNA from 1 species
GACGAACGCUGGCGGCGUGCCUAACACAUGCAAGUCGAACGGAGUGUUUAUUUAUAAACACUUAGUGGCGAACGGGUGAGUAACGCGUAGACAACCUACCCUCUAGAUGGGGACAACACCGCGAAAGGGGUGCUAAUACCGAAUGUUGUAAUGUUGUUGCAUAAUGAUAUUACUAAAGGUGGCCUCUAUAUAAAAGCUACCGCUAGAAGAUGGGUCUUCGUCUGAUUAGCUAGUUGGUGAGAUAACAGCUCACCAAGGCAAUGAUCAGUAGCCGGUCUGAGAGGAUGAACGGCCACACUGGGACUGAGACACGGCCCAGACUCCUACGGGAGGCAGCAGUGGGGAAUCUUCCGCAAUGGACGAAAGUCUGACGGAGCAACGCCGCGUGAGUGAAGAAGGUUUUCGGAUCGUAAAGCUCUGUCUUCAAGGACGAAUGUAGAUAUUGUGACUAAUGAUAUUUAAUGACGGUACUUGGGGAGGAAGCCACGGCUAACUCCGUGCCAGCAGCCGCGGUAA